rnacentral:rRNA from 1 species
AGUUUGAUCAUGGCUCAGAUUGAACGCUGGCGGGAUGCUUUACACAUGCAGUGGGCAGCGUACGGACUUCGGUCUGGUGGCGAGUGGCGAACGGAUGAUGUGUAUCGGAACGUGCCUGUGUGUGGGGGAUAACUACUGGCGAAGCGUAUUGUCCUGCGCAUACGCCCUUCAGGAAGAAGCGGGGACCUUCGGGCCUCACUAUUAGAAACGACGAAAUAUCGGAUUAAGCUAGUUGAGGUGAGGUAACAGCUCACCAAGGCGACUCCGUAACUGGUUUAGAGAAGGACGACCAGCCACACAGGACUGAGACACGGCCCAGACUCCUACGGGGAGGCAGCGGUGGGGAAUUUUUGGACAAUGGGGAAACCCUGAUCCAGCCAUCCGCGCGUGUGCGAUGAAGGCUGGUUAUCACGCUUUGGCAGAAAAGAAGCAGCACGGGGACCAACCACCCCAUUCACAGCGACCGUCCUUACAGGAAUAGCGCCGGUAACUGCGUUGCCCAGCAGCCGCGGUAAUACGUAGGGUGCAACGUUAAUCGGAAUUACUGGGCGUAAAGCGUGCGCGGGCGGUUCGGAAGAAGAUGUGGAAAUCGAGCGCCCAGCUUUGGAACUGCAUUUUUAACAUACCGAGCUGAGAGUGUGUCAGAGGGAGGGUGGAAUUCCGCGUGUAACAGUGAAGUAAAUGAAUAUGCGGAGGAACACCGAUGGCGAAGGCAGCCCUCCUGGGAUGCUACUGACGCUCAUGCACGAAAGCGUGGGAGCAAGCAGGAUUAGAUACCUGGUAGUCCACGCCCUAAACGAUGUCAGCUUCGCUGUUGAGGCCUUCAGGCCUUGGUAGCGCAGCUAACGCGCGUGAAGUUGACCGCCUCAGGAAGCGUUAUAGAAUUAAAACUCAAGAAGUCGACGAGACCCACCACCAAGCGGUGGAUGAUGUGGAUUGGUCGAUGCAACGCGAAAAACCUUACCUACCCUUGACAUGUCACAGAUCCCGAAGAGAUUUGGGAGUGCUCGCAAGAGAACCGGAACACCAGGUGCUGCACAUGGCUGUCGUCGGCUCGUGUCGUGAGAUGUUGGGUUAGAAUCCGCAACGAGCGCAACCCCUUCAUCAUUAGUUGCUACGAAAGGGCACUCGUAAUGGGACUAACAGUGACAAGCCGGAGGAAGGUGGGGAUGACGUCAAGUCCUCAUGGCCCUUAUGGGUGGGGCUUCACACGUCAUACAAUGGUCGGGACAGAGGUCGCCAACCCGCGAGGAGCCAAUCCCAGAAACCCGAUCAUGAGUCCGGAUCGCGAUCUGCAACUCGACUGCGUGAAGUCAGAAUCGCUAGUAAUCGCCCGGAUCAGCAUGUCGCGGUGAAUACGUUCCCGGGUCUUGUACACACACCGCCCGUCACACCAUGGGAGUGGGUUUUACCAGAAGUAGUUAGCCUAACCGUAAGGAGGGCGUUACCGCAGUAGGAUUCAUGACUGGGGUGAAGUCGUAACAAGGUAG